rnacentral:sRNA from 1 species
AAAAUGUUCCUCAAUUAAUAUAUA